rnacentral:vault_RNA from 1 species
GGGCUGGCUUUAGCCCAGCGGAGUCUGGCUUCCCAAGGGGUUCGGUGGUUCGAGACCGGCGGGCGCUCUCCAGUCCUUUA